GUGCAUGCAUUCCUUCCAGAGGACCUUGAACCGCAAAGAGACGAAUUUUAAGGAAAGGGGUUGCGGAAAAAUUCAGUGUGGAAUAUCAUCUGUGGCCUGUAUUUUCAUUCAUUGGAGUAAGCAAUACAAGACUGAAAAGGGACUGUUCAGGCCAUGGGGUUUGAUCUCCUGGCACCACAGCCAAGCCCUGACACAAGCCCAUUCACACCCGGCGCUGGCUCGGGGCACAUGAGGAAUCUCAGCCCACUCUGCAGAAAGGCUCUGUCCAGCUCCUCUUUGCUGGGGAUGAAGAAGUUUUAAUCUACAACUUAAAAAUAUAUAAACAGUUUAUA